rnacentral:rRNA from 1 species
UACGUAGGGUGCAAGCGUUGUCCGGAAUUAUUGGGCGUAAAGAGCUCGUAGGCGGCUUGUCACGUCGGGUGUGAAAGCCCGGGGCUUAACCCCGGGUCUGCAUUCGAUACGGGCUAGCUAGAGUGUGGUAGGGGAGAUCGGAAUUCCUGGUGUAGCGGUGAAAUGCGCAGAUAUCAGGAGGAACACCGGUGGCGAAGGCGGAUCUCUGGGCCAUUACUGACGCUGAGGUGCGAAAGCGUGGGGAGCAAACAGG